rnacentral:rRNA from 1 species
GAUGAACGCUGGCGGCGUGCCUAAUACAUGCAAGUCGAGCGAACGGACGAGAAGCUUGCUUCUCUGAUGUUAGCGGCGGACGGGUGAGUAACACGUGGAUAACCUACCUAUAAGACUGGGAUAACUUCGGGAAACCGGAGCUAAUACCGGAUGAUAUUUUGAACCGCAUGGUUCAAAAGUGAAAGACGGUCUUGCUGUCACUUAUAGAUGGAUCCGCGCUGCAUUAGCUAGUUGGUAAGGUAACGGCUUACCAAGGCAACGAUGCAUAGCCGACCUGAGAGGGUGAUCGGCCACACUGGAACUGAGACACGGUCCAGACUCCUACGGGAGGCAGCAGUAGGGAAUAUUCCGCAAUGGGCGAAAGCCUGACGGAGCAACGCCGCGUGAGUGAUGAAGGUCGUCGGAUCGUAAAACUCUGUUAUUAGGGAAGAACAUAUGUGUAAGUAACUGUGCACAUCUUGACGGUACCUAAUCAGAAAGCCACGGCUAACUACGUA